rnacentral:rRNA from 1 species
UACGUAGGGGGCAAGCGUUGUCCGGAUUUACUGGGUGUAAAGGGCGCGCAGGCGGAUUGACAAGUCAGAGGUGAAAUCCUGCAGCUUAACUGCAGAACUGCCUUUGAAACUGCCAAUCUUGAGUACGGAAGAGAGAGACGGAAUUCCAGGUGUAGUGGUGAAAUACGUAGAUAUCUGGAAGAACACCAGUUGCGAAGGCGGUCUCUUGGUCCGUUACUGACGCUCAGGCGCGAAAGCGUGGGUAGCAAACAGG